GGAGGCCGCCAGACUCUGACUGCGCGGAGACCGCUGGACUCUGGUCGCGGCCUUAGUCCGCUGAUCCUCGCUUGGGUGCCCGCCCUUAGCGGCCCGGCGUUGAAUUCCGGGAAGUGGGAGCUUCAGGCUCGCUCCGUGCGGGUGAAGAGGCACAGCUGCUGCCAUGAAAGGGGUUUCCUAGAAAGUGGUGAAGAGAACAUAGCCUAAUGCAAGUAGAGAAUUGGGACCAGGAAAAAUAAAGCCAUGAAAUAAUGAGUCUACUGUAUUAGAGAGCUGAGAUGCAUUCUUCCUCUCCUAUCCUUGGACAUCAGAACUCCAGGCUCUGGCCUUUGGACUCCAGGACUUAACACCAGCAGCUCCCAGAUUCUCAGGCAUUCAGCCUCCAACUGAGAGUUACACCAUUGGCUUUCCUGAUUUUGAGGCCUUCAGACUUGGUUUAAGCCAUGCUACCAGCAUCCCAGAGCCUCCAGUUUGCAGA
rnacentral:lncRNA from 1 species